rnacentral:tRNA from 1 species
GAGGGUGUAGCUCAAGUGGCAGAGCACAUGCUUAGCAUGCACGAGGUCCUGGGUUCGAUCCCCAGUACCUCCU